GAUGAACGCUGGCGGCGUGCUUAACACAUGCAAGUCGAACGGAGCUUGUCUGAUAGAGGAUUCGUCCAAUUGAUUUCAAGCUUAGUGGCGGACGGGUGAGUAACGCGUGAGGAACCUGCCUUGGAGUGGGGAAUAACACAGUGAAAAUUGUGCUAAUACCGCAUAAUGCAGUUGAGUCGCAUGGCUCUGACUGCCAAAGAUUUAUCGCUCUAAGAUGGCCUCGCGUCUGAUUAGGUAGUUGGUGAGGUAACGGCUCACCAAGCCGACGAUCAGUAGCCGGACUGAGAGGUUGGCCGGCCACAUUGGGACUGAGACACGGCCCAG
rnacentral:rRNA from 1 species